GUGGAUAUAGUUUAAAAAAACAUUUGCUUUGCAAGCAAAAUUUCUAGAUUAAAACUCUAGUUUCUACA
rnacentral:tRNA from 1 species